rnacentral:tRNA from 1 species
GACACCUUGGCAGAGUGGUUAACGCGUCCGGUUGCUAUCCGGAUUCCUUCGGGAGCGCAAGUUCGAGUCUUGCAGGUGUCU